AAUAGAUACCCAGGUAGUCCACGCCGUAAACGAUGAGUGCUAAGUGUUAGGGGGGUUUCCGCCCCUUAGUGCUGCAGCUAACGCAUUAAGCACUCCGCCUGGGGAGUACGGUCGCAAGACUGAAACUCAAAGGAAUUGACGGGGGCCCGCACAAGCGGUGGAGCAUGUGGUUUAAUUCGAAGCAACGCGAAGAACCUUACCAGGUCUUGACAUCCCAUUGACCACUAUGGAGACAUAGUUUUCCCUUCGGGGACAACGGUGACAGGUGGUGCAUGGUUGUCGUCAGCUCGUGUCGUGAGAUGUUGGGUUAAGUCCCGCAACGAGCGCAACCCUUGUUCUUAGUUGCCAUCAUUUAGUUGGGCACUCUAAGGAGACUGCCGGUGACAAACCGGAGGAAGGUGGGGAUGACGUCAAAUCAUCAUGCCCCUUAUGACCUGGGCUACACACGUGCUACAAUGGACGGUACAAACGGUUGCCAACCCGCGAGGGGGAGCUAAUCCGAUAAAACCGUUCUCAGUUCGGAUUGUAGGCUGCAACUCGCCUACA
rnacentral:rRNA from 1 species